ACGAACAUGAGAUCUGACCUGAGCCGAAGCCAGAGGCUUAACCGACUGAGCCACCCAGGCGCCCUGAGGGUACUUUGAUCAUAAGUUGAUAAACACAUUUUGAGGUUUGUUUUCCUUAAAAACAAACAUAACUCUUCAGGACCACAUGUUCAGUAAACUUUUUUUUUAAUUGCUUAUUAUGCUUAUCAUUUGUGAAUUAGUAUUCUGCCCUAGUCCCUAAAGGUAGUUUUCUGUGCUAACUUUUGUUUUGCCUUUCUAGCUGCUAAGAUAGAUAAUGAUUAUGGCAAAGUGCGCCUUUUUAAAUGGUCUCCAAUGCCGACUGCUGAGCCAGUGAUGGAAUGAGUACAUUGAGGAAGAAUGUGUCAUUUGGAAUCCAGGACAUUCCGCAAGAAUAACUGCCUGAUACAUGAUUUCGUGACUGAUGCUGAAAUGGAAGCCAGCCAAUGCAGAAAUUUGGGGGAAAGUGAACCUGAAGAAUGCAAAGGGAAGUAGGAAUUCCUUUCUAGCAUUCCCCAACCUGCUUUGUCGUGUCUGCUCCACUGCAGUCAGAGGAAAAGAACCGAGUUCAUGGAAAUUACCAGCUAAGCCUUACAUCUUCUUUAAUGUUUGUAGGAAAUAUUCUGAAAAGAAGUGUGUGCAGCCAAAAUUGAAAGAACUGGAACAGAGGAACGGAGCUUAUCACUUGUACUCAGUACCUGUUGUCCCUCGGUUUUACCCCUUUCUUUCUGGAAUGUGGAGAUUUUCUUUAGCUGCCUACUCAUGAGAAAUAUGACUGCCAAGACUAGGAUUCUUGGGCAGAUAGAUUAGGCUCCAGUGCAGAAGUAAAAAGCCGCUGUGAGAACCCCAGGUAGGUGCUUUACUUCCUGUUGUAUGCUAGUUCGUUUGAGCUCCUCCUUCUGCCCCUGCUGUUUUGCGCUCCUGUAAAUCUCAUUUGACCAUUAAUAAACUGUUUUCUGAAGUGA